rnacentral:rRNA from 1 species
UACGAAGGGGGGCUAGCGUUGUUCGGAAUUACUGGGCGUAAAGCGCGCGCAGGCGGUCUUCCAAGUCAGUGGUGAAAGCCCCGGAGCUCAACUCCGGAACUGCCAUUGAAACUGUUAGACUUGAGGAUAGAGAGGUGAGUGGAAAUUCCCAGUGUAGAGGUGAAAUUCGUAGAUAUUUGGGAAGAACACCAGUGGCGAAGGCGGCUAUCUGGACCGGUACUGACGCUGAGGCGCGAAAGCGUGGGGAGCAAACAGG